rnacentral:rRNA from 1 species
AAGGAAUGACCGUGACCACUAUUGCUCUUGCUCACACACUGUAGCAACUAGCGCUCAGUCGCCUUCAUUGCACAUGACCAGGCAGCAUCCAGCAGUAACAACACAGGCACCGCUCCUCCAUUGUUGCCUUGCUCUGCAGACUCUGCUCUCGACAAGGGAAGGGAAGGGAAGGGAACCACCAUCCAAGUCCAAUCCAACCAUGCAUGGCGCUCAAGCGGAGUAGUAGAUCUAUCGCCUUCAUCAACCGCCAUUGCUAGCUGCCUGGGAUCUGGCUGGCAUUUCCAGGCGGUCGCUCAACAGCCUACCAACUAGCAGCCGGCUCAAAAGGCUACACCGGAACUUGCUGCUAGAGAGCAGCCAGAAGACGGCAGCAUUUGGAGGCAGUCGCUCAAGAACCUAGCAGCUGAUUCCUGCUACCGGAUCGAUCUUGCAGCAUCGGCAGGAGGAAUACAACAGAGAGCAGCCAGAAGACGGCGGCAUUGGGAGGAUCUAUCAUUAUGCUUGCUUCUGCUCGUACUCCCUCCGUCCGGAAAUACUUGUCAUUGAAAUGGAUGUAUCUAUAUGUAUUUUAGUUGGUAAGGGCUUGUUGCUGUUGGCUACUACACUAGUUAUUAAAUCCCCAUGUACAUAAACCUAGUCCCUGCAGUGCACAUUCUGAUUCAGUCAGAUAUAGAUCUGUUCAAAUGACAAAAUUUAUUAGAUCCCCU